UACAGAGGGGGCAAGCGUUGUUCGGAAUUACUGGGCGUAAAGGGCGCGUAGGUGGCCUGUUAAGUCGAACGUGAAAUCCCUGGGCUCAACCCAGGAACUGCGUCCGAUACUGGCAGGCUUGAAUCCGGGAGAGGGAUGCGGAAUUCCAGGUGUAGCGGUGAAAUGCGUAGAUAUCUGGAGGAACACCGGUGGCGAAGGCGGCUGCCUGGCCUGUUCUUGACGCUGAGGCGCGAAAGCUGGGGGAGCAAACGGG
rnacentral:rRNA from 1 species